rnacentral:rRNA from 1 species
GACGAACGCUGUCGGCGUGCUUAACACAUGCAAGUCGUACGGUAAGGCCCUUUCUGGGGUACACGAGUGGCGAACGGGUGAGUAACACGUGAGUAACCUGCCCACAACUUUGGGAUAACGCUAGUAAACUGGUGCUAAUACUGGAUAUGUGCCCCUGCUGCAUGGUGGGGGUUGGAAAGCUCCGGCGGUUGUGGAUGGACUCGCGGGCUAUCAGCUUGUUGGUGGGGUAGUGGGCUACCAAGGCGGCGACGGGUAGCCGGCCUGAGAGGGUGACCGGCCACAGUGGGACUGAGAUACGGCCCAGACUCCUACGGGAGGCAGCAGAGGGGAAUAUUGCACAAUGGGCGCAAGCCGGAUGCAGCAACGCCGCGUGCGGGAUGACGGCCUUCGGGUUGUAAACCGAUUUCAGCAGGGAAGAAGCUUUUUGUGACGGUACCUGCAGAAGAAGCACCGGCUAACUACGUG